rnacentral:rRNA from 1 species
UACAGAGGGGGCAAGCGUUAUUCGGAAUUAUUGGGCGUAAAGGGCGCGUAGGCGGCUUGGCAAGUGGAUGGUGAAAUCCCUCGGCUUAACCGAGGAACUGCCGUCCAAAACUGCUUCGCUUGAGACCGGGAGAGGUGAGUGGAAUUCCCAGUGUAGCGGUGAAAAUGCGUAGAUAUUGGGAGGAACACCAGUGGCGAAGGCGGCUCACUGGACCGGUACUGACGCUGAUGCGCGAAAAGCGUGGGGGAGCAAACGGGG